rnacentral:rRNA from 1 species
UUCGGGUCUAGCGGCGGACGGGUGAGUAACGCGUGGGAACGUGCCCUUCUCUACGGAAUAGCCCCGGGAAACUGGGAGUAAUACCGUAUACGCCCUUUGGGGGAAAGAUUUAUCGGAGAAGGAUCGGCCCGCGUUGGAUUAGGUAGUUGGUGGGGUAAUGGCCCACCAAGCCGACGAUCCAUAGCUGGUUUGAGAGGAUGAUCAGCCACACUGGGACUGAGACACGGCCCAGACUCCUACGGGAGGCAGCAGUGGGGAAUCUUAGACAAUGGGGGCAACCCUGAUCUAGCCAUGCCGCGUGAGUGAUGAAGGCCUUAGGGUUGUAAAGCUCUUUCAGCUGGGAAGAUAAUGACGGUACCAGCAGAAGAAGCCCCGGCUAACUCCGUGCCAGCAGCCGCGGUAAUACGGAGGGGGCUAGCGUUGUUCGGAAUUACUGGG